rnacentral:rRNA from 1 species
GUGGAGCAUGUGGANUAAUUUGACUCAACGCGGGGAAUCUUACUAGGUCCGGACCGAGUCUAUGAACGUCGUACCGUUGGGUGCUACGUGAUUACUGGAUGAGUGGUGCAUGGCCGUUCUUAGUUCGUGGUGUUAAUUGUCUACUUAAUUGUUAUCGUUCCCGUAUCUCACGGUACGGAGCGCAUAACGAACGAGAUCGAGACCCGUGGUUUACGUCUUAGGUUAUUUGUGUACGACGUUUAAACUACGGGGAUCGCGUAAUACUCAACGGUACGAUCGAAAGACUCGGCAAUAACAGGUCUGUGAUGCCCUCAGAUGUUCUAGGCUGCACACGUGCUACAUUGUGAGUUGUAGUAUAUUGUGUAUGCGUAGAUAUGUCUAAGAUCCCCCGCACCGAGUCAAUUACUCACGUGGUUGGACUCACCGAUUGUAAUAAUUAUUCGGUAUACUAA